UGUUACAAGUAAAACUUUUUGACAACCACUCAUCUAACUUGCUAGUUUAUUUUAUCUAAUUGGUUAAUGUUAUUUUAUAAUUAACAGAUGGAAGCAAACAUUUGGUUAUGCAAAACAUCAGUUUUACCCAGAAUAAGUACUGCAUCUGAAUAAAAAGGUUAUGCGGAAAAAUGAGGUGCUGACGAGGAUCCUAGUUGUGAUGAGUGGCUUGCCAAGUACCCUUUCCUGGGUGCAGAACAGUCAUGUUGCCAGAGGAAUGGAAGGAAAACUGGAAGACCAUCUGCAUCCUGUCUCAGUGUUUUUAAAAUAGCAGAAAUCUGAAAAACGACGUUUCAUAAUCAUAUGAAAGCUCUAAGAUGCCAGUACCGACGUGCAGUCCAUUAACACAAAGUCGCUUUGCUGCUGUGACCAGUUGAGUCGCACUGUGGAAACGACCAAACUGUACCUAACAAUGGGAAACACUGCCCAGGACUCAGCUAUGGCUGUAGGUAGACUCUCUCGUUAGUUUAAAAAGGAUCACUUUUUUAUUAUUAUUAAGCCCAUUGCUUAGAAAAAUUAUAUAUUGAGCUCCUGCAUUUUAAUAGGACUUAGAUGAUCACAACAGCGAUAUAUUAAUUACAAAGUGACUACCCUACAGUCACCCGGCCCUUCUAAUAAAAACGCCCCUCUGUCUCCCCCACCGGACAAGGCAGACACUGGAGAUGAACCACGCUGGCUGAAGUCCUCCACUACAGUUAAAGGACCUAAAAACGGCUUAGCGUCACCUUCAGCAUCCAGCAGGUAGACAAGACACUUGGGCUUUGGUAAGGUUUUGUGAAACUACUUUCUGAGUUUCAACCAAGUUCAGGGGGAAAAAACACAACAACAACAACAACAAAAACUGGGCUAUGUGACACCGCGGAGCUGACACCCCUCAGUGAGGCUUCCCUGCCACAAGAGUCCUCCAUGCUCAGGACAUAAAUGACCCACACAUUACCUUUAACUGCUCUAGGGCAAAAGAUGACCCGUCCCGCUGCAAAUUUUCAAUAAUCUGUUCCACAGUAUUGGCGGAGAACCAACUAUAAGAAAGGAAACACGUGAUUUCACCAGUAUAAUAUUUCUUCUUUCUGAGACAGCAAUGAACCUAAACAUAGGCAUCCCCUAAACUCCAUUUCAAAAAUGAAAAAUUUUCCAACCUAUUUUACAGAUGAAAUGAUGAAAUAAAACACUGCUUCUCUGGGUAAGCGUUUUCAGUGUAUCUUCACUAAAAUAAA